rnacentral:rRNA from 1 species
CCUACGGGUGGCUGCAGUGGGGGAUAUUGGACAAUGGGGGGAACCCUGAUCCAGCGACGCCGCGUGAGUGAAGAAGUAUCUCGGUAUGUAAAGCUCUAUCAGCAGGGAAGAAGAAAGACGGUACCCGACCAAGAAGCGCCUGCUAACUACGUGCCAGCAGCCGCGGUAAUACGUAGGGGGCGAGCGUUAUCCGGAAUUACUGGGUGUAAAGGGAGCGUAGACGGCGAGGUAAGCCUGAAGUGGAAGCCCGCGGCCCAACCGCGGAACUGCUUUGGGAACUGUUUUGCUGGAGUAUGGGAGGGGUAAGCGGAAUUCCUGGUGUAGCGGUGAAAUGCGUAGAUAUCAGGAGGAACACCGGUGGCGAAGGCGGCUUACUGGACCAUAACUGACGUUGAGGCUCGAAAGCGUGGGGAGCGAACAGGAUUAGAUACCCGGGUAGUC